rnacentral:lncRNA from 1 species
UGCAACCUGCAAAUAUGGAUGCAAAAACAUAACUAGCUGUGCAAUAUCCCACCCGUAAGGGGACAGAUGCAGGGUCGGUUGAAAUGAUCAUUGUGUUGAAUAAAGAUUCCUGGUAAUUCCAUUUUCCACUUCACUCAUUCAUUAUAAAUAUAUACAUGCAUGUGUGCGCGCGCGUGUGUUUGUCUCCCAACUGCUUGGCAACUGGUGUUGCUUUGUUUACGUCCCCGUAACAUAGCAGUUCGGCAAAAGAGAACGAUAGAAUAAGUACCAGACUUUCAAAGGAAAAAAAAAACGUACUUGGAGUAAUUUGUUCUAUUAAACCAUUGAAUGCGGUGCCCCAGCAUGACCACAUUCCAUUAACUGAAACAAGUAGAAGAUAAAAGACUCAUAUCACACCUGCUCAAAUAAACUAAAAAUCGAAUUACAAGUUUCAGAAUAUAGAGGAAUUGUUUAAAUGCUAUAUUGUCACAUUUUCUUACAAACUGACUUUAAAAAAAAAAUUCAAAUACUUCUCGAACAUAUGAAAUCUCAUAUUUCGGUAUCUGCACAUAUGCUUAUAUAUCUGUCACGCUUACAGUUAAAACACAUUUGUUUUUGGCCUGAUAAAACUAACUUGCUCAAAGAUAAGUAAAUUACACCGUUGUAUUUAUUAAUUUAUUUUUUAAUAUUUUCUUUUAUCUUUUUCUUGUUUCAGUCAUUGGACUACAGCGACGCGGAGGUACCAACUUGACGGGUUUUAGUUGAAGCAAUCGACCCCAGUACUUAUUUUAAAAUCUGCUACUUGUUCUGUUCCUUUUGGUGAACAGCUAAGUUACGAGGAUGGAAACAAACCAGCACGGCUGUUGAGCGGUGAUGGGCAGCAAAU